GCAGAACGCGCAGGCGGCUCGGGUGCGCGUUGCGGCGCUGGUGUCCGGAGGACGCGGUCACCGCUGCUGGCAUUUGUCGUUCUGCGCUUCUCCGCAAGGACCCUCUGCUAUGCAGGCGCCCACCGUAAGCCUCCCGGGUCUUGUGAACCUGCAAACCCAAGUCCGAGAGACGAUCCGCCUUCAGCACUUUCCGGCUUGGCAGAGAGGCUUUCCUGGCGGGGAUCUUUGGUUCGCGCUGGCGAUGCGCGGGGAAGAAAGGCGAGGAGGAGCGUCCAGGCUGGAUGCUGUCCCAGCGCGAGUAGGCGGGAUGCGCUCGCAUGGUCCGCGGGGCGCCCCGUCCCCGCCCGCGUCGCGCGCCCACCCCUGGGGACGAGAAUGCGGCCGCCUGGGGAACCCCGCUCGCGACCUCCGCGAGUCUGGAGCGCAGAGGACAGGGUCUGGCGGCUCUUUGGCCUUGGAUGGAAAGUGGGCAAUUGGGUGGGGGGCUGCGGACCCCUUAACGUGGAUUACUUGGUGUGUAUCAGCUGGGCUCAGAAGACCCACGACCUCUUCUCCAUCCUUGGAUUGAUUUGUUCUGCUUAACAGCUGGGUCGCCAAGCUGGCGGUGGAAUCAGAGGUUUCUGGCUGACUCAGUGGGUGCUUUGAACCAGGAAAGGACAAGAAAGAGGAUGGGAAGGACUGAUCCACAUUCCCACCAGGAAGUUUAGCGGAACCCCCGCAUGCCACCUGGACCCCCUGGAAGGACCUGGCCAAGGCUGGAGCACCUCUUGAGAGGCAGGAGCUCCGGAUUUGAUCAAGAAUUCUUGGCUGAGCAUGGUGCCUCAUGCCUAUAAUCCCAACACUUUGGGAGGCCAAUGUGGGAGGAUCUCUUGAGCCCAGGAGUUCAAGACUAGCCUGGGCAACACAGGGAGACCCCAUCUCUAAAAAAAAUAAUAAUAAUAAAAUAAAAAAUUAGCAGGGCAUGGUGGCAUGUGCCUGUAGUCCCAGCUACCCAGGAGGCUGAGGCAAGAGGAUGGCUGGAGCCUGGGACGUUGAGGCUGCAAUGAACUGUGAUUACCCCACUGCACUCCAGCCUGGGCAAAAGAGCAAGAGACCCUGUCUCAAAUAAUAAUAAUAAUAAUAAUAAUGAUAAUCUUAUUUUGGAGAAUAAAGAGACCUCUGGAUUUGAGGUGCCAUUUGGGUAGAAAGAAAAGACCUUUACCCUGAGAAACAGUCUGUGUUGACCUGAAGGAGCAGAGGGAUGCAUCGCUGGAGGUGACCUACAGUUGAAGAAGACUCAUUAUGACAGACCUUGUCCUUCUUCCUUGUGGAAAGUGUUUCCUCUGCUGCUACUGCUCAUGAGACUCUUCCCCCUCCCUGUCCCAGGGAACCAAAGGGCUUUCUACCACACCCUUUCUUGCCCCCCGCCUCCCAUGUCUGCUGUGCCUUUGUACUCAGCAAUUCUUGUUUGCUCCAUUAUCUUCCAGCCGGAUACAGAGUGAAUAGUUAACCACACUUAGGUCAAAUAGGAUCUAAAUUUUUGUUCCUGCUCCGUGUAAAGAGGCCAGUGUUUGUGCAUUGCAAGCAGCCUUGGAAUGGUAACUCUUCUCAUUUGUUUGGGAUCUGGCCACCAAGUUCCAGAAUGAUACACGGAUCAGUGCAGAAGUUCAUCAGGCUCUCGGACCUUAGGGCUGUUGGAGAAGGCUUCAGCAGCAGAACUGAUGGUGAAGGCUCAUGUUCUCCAUCCUCAACUUUCUUUGCUUGGAUCAUACACAAGAAUAAAUUUGGAAGGGCAAAAAAUGAACACUGUUGUUCAUUGCAGCUGUGUUUUGUGACACAGAUGCACAGUCUGCUGUGAAGACCUUCUCUCAAGUGGCAGUUGGGAGUCCAUGCCAGAUCGUGGGCUUCAUGAGAGACUAACAGCUAUCAGGGGUUGUGGCACUUAGUGAGGACUCUCCUCCCCCAGUGUGUGCUGAUGACACAUACACACCUGGUAAUAGCUUGAGUCUUCUCUGUUCCUUUUACUCUGUAGCCACCAUACACGUGAUUUAAAACCCUUCCUAAAUAUCUAUCAUGGUUCACCCUUGUCCAAAUGCAGAGUCAGAGCUAUUUGUACUUCAUUAUUAUUUCCAAGGCGAAUAGAUGGCUUGCUUUUUGCAAAAAGAAUUAAAGCUUUUGUAUGUUGCAGUUG